AACGGAUGCGUACAGCACACGGCGUGCUGUCCGCAUCUUUUGCGGCCCCAUUGAAGUGAAUGGGUCCGCAUCCGAGCCGCAAAAACGGCGGACCCAAACAGCAGCAGUGUGCAUGAGACCUAAAAUGGAGAAAUUUCCAGGAGGAAUUCAUUUCGUCUCUGCCUCCUUUUUACUCCUCGGGCGAUUUGAAUACCAGAUUUGGGAAGGGGAGGAACCAAACAAGGCUUAGUCCCACCCCCUCUGCAGAGCCACGCCCACUUAUCACACUAUCUCUGCUCAGAGUUUUUCUUCCAGAUUUCUACGAGGCUGGUUCACUUUGGCACAUGCAGAAGCAUAUAUUUUUUUUUUAUUUUUUUUUGCAGACAGUAAAAUUUAUCUAUUAUACUUUUCUAGGUGUAAAGUCCCUUUAAUGUCAUAUGUCCUCAUGAAGGUAUUUAUAGGUUAACCCCUUCACGAGCGGACAGUUUUGGACCUUAUUCGAGUCAUUUCAUUUACAAAUCUUAUUUUGAAACUCAUUAGGGAAUUAUUAGCUAAAGGGGAGAGGUAAUAAAUGAUUUUAGUAGGAGAACCCCUUAAUAAGGAAGAACCGUCUUCAGGGUGGAGAGAGACUACAUUCAAAGUGAUUUUUUUUUAUAUGUAUAAAGUGCAAGUUUUUGGGCGAGUUUGUGUGAGUUUUAUGUCUUAGUCGUUGCUUUUUUUCCUUUUUUCCUAACGUAUAUGUAAAAUAUAAUAUAUACAUACGAGUCUUCAAAGAUAUCAUUAAAUACUUAAAACCAUUUAAAGGGAUCAGACUCGCCACCAUUGCAAUGCAGAGGUCAAAUCGGCAGUCACGUGACCAGUCACCUGCUUGUAGGGUCCAAUACCGGUCUGGUCUAUACACAGCGCUAUUAUAGGGGGUUGUGCAGGAUUAGAGGGAAAAAACUAAAAACAUGGCCGUUUUCUUCCAAAAUCAGUGCCAUACCUGGUUUAGGGGUUGUGUCUGGUACUGAAGCUUAGCUCCACUGAAGUAAAUGGGGCAGAGCUGCAAUACUAUAAACAACCUGUCAAAUGUUGGGGCACUGUUUUUGGAAGAAAGCAGAAAGUUUUUUUAGUUUUUUUCUUCUAUUUUGGACAACCCCUUUAAGAUUAACUUAAAGGGACAUUCAAACUAAAAAUCACACAGAGUAAAAUAAAACCACAGGGUAAACCUCUGUCUACCUGUCAGUCAGGACUGGCUUCUAAAAGCUCCGGGCACAUACGGUCGUAGAGAAAUCUGGCAGAGAAAGACGGGCCCGUUACUGAACUGGAUUCUCCAAGUUUCAGACAGUGUUGGAAAUGGGUGGAGCUUAUUUAAAGGGACAGGGCAUAUUUUGUUUGAUGUCAGUGGCAGGCAGAGCAGCAGAGGGAGAUUUCAACCAUCUUCCAGCCUAAGGCCUCAUGCACACGAACGUAUUUCCAUUUUUGCAGACCGUAUAUGGAACCAUUCAUUUCAAUGGGUAAAAUAUAUGCAUCCAGGAAGGAGGAGGAAUUAGGACGAAAUCAUGGCAAAUGUCUGAGGCCUAUAGUCCCACGUAUCGUACCUGGCAGGCUUGAGUAAAUGCUACAUUUCUAAUGAUUUCAAGGGUCUUACAGGAUCGCCACGUGACUGGGUGACGUGGCGUGUCCACAUGAUCAUGUGACCUCGCAGACCCUGCGCUCUGAAUGCCAUAUGCUCCUACAUGACAGAUGCACACAGGAGCGCGGGGUGAUCAUCAGAUCUUCCUCUCUGCUGGAUUUCGUUUAAAGUUUCUUUCCGUGAAAAAAAUAAAGAAAAGAAAAGAAAAAUGUCAAUCCUGCCAAGCCCCUUUAAUUAAAGUGCAGUACUAACUGGUGGCCUGAUCCCUGGAUAAAGGUAUAAUUCAACAAGAUAUCACUUUGAAGCGAUGCAAUUUAAGGCAACGGAUUAAAAAAAAAUUAAGAUAAAAAAAUAA